GACGAACGCUGGCGGCGUGCCUAAUACAUGCAAGUAGAACGCACAGUUUAUACCGUAGCUUGCUACACCAUAGACUGUGAGUUGCGAACGGGUGAGUAACGCGUAGGUAACCUGCCUGGUAGCGGGGGAUAACUAUUGGAAACGAUAGCUAAUACCGCAUAAUAUUAAUUAUUGCAUGAUAAUUAAUUGAAAGGUGCAAUUGCACCACUACCAGAUGGACCUGCGUUGUAUUAGCUAGUAGGUGAGGUAACGGCUCACCUAGGCGACGAUACAUAGCCGACCUGAGAGGGUGAUCGGCCACACUGGGACUGAGACACGGCCCAGACUCCUACGGGAGGCAGCAGUAGGGAAUCUUCGGCAAUGGACGAAAGUCUGACCGAGCAACGCCGCGUGAGUGAAGAACGUUUUCGGAUCGUAAAGCUCUGUUGUAAGAGAAGAACGGGUGUGAGAGUGGAAAGUUCACACUGUGACGGUAUCUUACCAGAAAGGGACGGCUAACUACGUG
rnacentral:rRNA from 1 species